UUGUGCGACUGUGCAAGUGUUCUAGAGGGCUAUUCUAUGUCCUCUACCAUAGUUCGUUCGUUUGCUAUUGAAUAUUAGUUGGGAUUUGGCAUAUCAUAGAAAUACAUUGAAUAACUAUAGGUUUUUUAUGAAUGAAUUACAUUUUGUUUGAUUUCACUAUUGUUUAUAUGCUCAUUUUAGUAGCUUUUCUUUUCUCAUAAUCGACAUGUUUGUACUUUAAUAAGUCUAGAAUACUUUCGAGAUUCUUGUUUUGAUAGAAGGAUUGAUGCCGGACUCGGAAAUUAACUUCAGUUAUAGCAAUGUGAGAUGUUGGUAUCGAUGCCAUGUGGUAGCUAGAGAGGUUAGCAUCAAUGUCCUAUACAAGAGCUCUAUUUUAUUUUUCUUAAUCAAACAAAAUUUACAUUGGGUUUUCUUGUUUAUUGAUCAUUUUUUGUUUCGUUUGUGGAAGGCUAACAGUGAUGUAGAUGAGUUUAUCACUUUUGAGAACUAUAGAUACUUUAUUGUAACGAAUAAUUAUUUUAAUGAAAUGAUAUUUUUUUUA